UCGCCUGCAUGAAGUUGGAAUUGCUAGUAAUCGCGAAUCAGAAUGUCGCGGUGAAUACGUUCCCGGGCCUUGUACACACCGCCCGUCACACCAUGAGAGUCGAUAACACCCGAAGCCUGUGAGCUAACCUUUCAGGAGGCAGCAGUCGAAGGUGGGGUUGAUGAUUGGGGUGAAGUCGUAACAAGGUAAC
rnacentral:rRNA from 1 species